CUAGUAAGUGUUGUUCUGCAGAAACU
rnacentral:piRNA from 1 species